UGCUUCUCUAUAAUAAAGGACGAGACAGAGUAGAAAAACAAGUCCUUGAUUGAUAAGACCACUAACUCUGACAGAGAAGAAUAAGUCCUUGACUGAUAAGACUGCAGGCUAGAAAAACAACUAGGGAGACAUAUACUGCAGACUUUGUGAUAAGGGUCCAGAAUGGAAAAAUAAUGAAUGUUCAGAAUGUGAACCUCGUGACUCUUUAGAGCUAUAGAAGGGAGGAGCUUGAACUGUAUUUAAUCGAAAACUUUGUUAGCCUGGCGCGCCUUUUUUUUUCAAGGGUGCCCAACUCUGCAGACUUGUUAAUAAAACUUUGUUUUCCUGAA